AGGAUUAACGCUGGCGGCGUGCCUAACACAUGCAAGUCGAACGAGGUAGCAAUACCUAGUGGCAGACGGGUGAGUAACGCGUGGUCAACCUACCGUUGAGUGGGGGAUAACUAGCCGAAAGGUUAGCUAAUACCGCAUACGUCUCCGAGGGGCAUCCCUUGGCGAUAAAAGGAGCAAUCCGCUCGAUGACGGGACCGCGUCCCAUUAGCUAGAUGGUGGGUAACGGCCUACCAUGGCACCGAUGGGUAGCUGGUUUGAGAGAGCGACCAGCCACACUGGGACUGAGAAACGGCCCAGACUCCUACGGGAGGCAGCAGUGAGGAAUUUUCCGCAAUGGGCGCAAGCCUGACGGAGCGACGCCGCGUGUGGGAAGAAGGCCUUCGGGUCGUAAACCACUGUCGAAGGGGACGAUAAUGACGGUACCCUUGGAGGAAGCCCCGGCUAACUACGUGCCAGCAGCCGC
rnacentral:rRNA from 1 species